UACGGAGGGUGCAAGCGUUAUCCGGAUUUACUGGGUUUAAAGGGUGUGUAGGCGGGCUAUUAAGUCAGCGGUGAAAUCUCCGGGCUCAACCUGGAAACUGCCAUUGAUACUAUUAGUCUUGAAUUCUGUUGAGGUGGGCGGAAUAAAUCAUGUAGCGGUGAAAUGCAUAGAUAUGAUUUAGAACACCAAUUGCGAAGGCAGCUCGCUAAACAGACAUUGACGCUGAGGCACGAAAGCGUGGGGAUCAAACAGG
rnacentral:rRNA from 1 species